GUGGCGUAGCGGCAACGCGCCUGUCUAGUGAGUAGGAGUCGUGAGUUCAAGUCUCACC
rnacentral:tRNA from 1 species